rnacentral:rRNA from 1 species
CGAUGAAAGGGAGCUUGCUCCCUGGAUUAGUGGCGAACGGGUGAGUAACACGUGAGUAACCUGCCCUUGACUCUGGGAUAAGCACUGGAAACGGUGUCUAAUACCGGAUACGAACUUCAGCCGCAUGGCUAGGAGUUGGAAAGAAUUUCGGUCAAGGAUGGACUCGCGGCCUAUCAGCUAGUUGGUGAGGUAAUGGCCCACCAAGGCGACGACGGGUAGCCGGCCUGAGAGGGUGACCGGCCACACUGGGACUGAGACACGGCCCAGACUCCUACGGGAGGCAGCAGUGGGGAAUAUUGCACAAUGGGCGCAAGCCUGAUGCAGCAACGCCGCGUGAGGGACGACGGCCUUCGGGUUGUAAACCUCUUUUAGUAGGGAAGAAGCGAAGUGUUUUACACGGAGUGACGGUACCUGCAGAAAAAGCACCGGCUAACUACGUGCCAGCAGCCGCGGUAAUACGUAGGGUGCAAGCGUUAUCCGGAAUUAUUGGGCGUAAAGAGCUCGUAGGCGGUUUGUCGCGUCUGCUGUGAAAACUGGGGGCUCAACCCCCAGCCUGCAGUGGGUACGGGCAGACUAGAGUGCGGUAGGGGAGAUUGGAAUUCCUGGUGUAGCGGUGGAAUGCGCAGAUAUCAGGAGGAACACCAAUGGCGAAGGCAGAUCUCUGGGCCGUAACUGACGCUGA